UGAGUAACCUGCCCUUAACUCUGGGAUAAGCCUGGGAAACUGGGUCUAAUACCGGAUAUGACUCCUCAUCGCAUGGUGGGGGGUGGAAAGCUUUAUUGUGGUUUUGGAUGGACUCGCGGCCUAUCAGCUUGUUGGUGAGGUAAUGGCCCACCAAUGCUUCGACGGGUAGCCGGCCUGAGAGGGUGACCGGCCACACUGGGACUGAGACACGGCCCAGACUCCUACGGGAGCAG
rnacentral:rRNA from 1 species